rnacentral:tRNA from 1 species
GCCGCCUUAGCUCAGUGGUAGAGCAGUUGUUUUGUAAACAACGGGUCGGCGGUUCGAAUCCGUCAGGCGGCUCCA